rnacentral:rRNA from 1 species
GAUCCUGGCUCAGAUUGAACGCUGGCGGCAGGCUUAACACAUGCAAGUCGAGCGGGGAAGGUUGCUUCGGUAACUGACCUAGCGGCGGACGGGUGAGUAAUGCUUAGGAAUCUGCCUAUUAGUGGGGGACAACGUUCCGAAAGGAAUGCUAAUACCGCAUACGUCCUACGGGAGAAAGCAGGGGAUCUUCGGACCUUGCGCUAAUAGAUGAGCCUAAGUCGGAUUAGCUAGUUGGUGGGGUAAAGGCCUACCAAGGCG